AAUUCUCAACCCUUAUCAACUUUGUGCUGAUAAUGGGCUUGGAUAUGGGGGUUUUUUGCUGGCUUCUUCACSGAUGGUCAGCUCCCCUGAAAUGCAUUAGCUGGUGCCCCGCGUGGACUGUCUAUUGGUGUGAUAAUUAUCUACGCUGUGGACAUCUACAAUCAUAUGGGUUUGCACUGCUUCUAACUGUCUGUUUAUUCAGACAAUACAUGACUA
rnacentral:misc_RNA from 1 species